rnacentral:tRNA from 1 species
ACUCUCGUAGCCCAAUGGGUAGAGGCGGCUGUUUUAGAAACAGUCUACGUAUCGGUUCAAGUCCGAUCGAGAGUC